UACAACUUUCAACAACGGAUCUCUUGGCUCUCGCAUCGAUGAAGAACGCAGCGAAAUGCGAUAAGUAAUGUGAAUUGCAGAAUUCAGUGAAUCAUCGAAUCUUUGAACGCACCUUGCGCUCCUUGGUAUUCCGAGGAGCAUGCCUGUUUGAGUGUUAUGU
rnacentral:rRNA from 1 species